rnacentral:sRNA from 1 species
UACCUAGAAGCACCGUUAGUGGAUCGGAA